CCUGGAGAUCUGGAGUAUGCUCAGGAUCCCCUACCUCACUGGUAAUGAAGUGAUCUGCCAUGCAGCCUGCACACCACAGACAAGGAGGGGGCUCUGACAUUGCCACUGAAGCUCUCAGCCAGAGAUUUGCAUCUGUGGACAUGGUUGCUGGUAGCUGUGUGAGAGAAAAAUUGAGAGUCACCUGUGCCCUGUCUGUGGUGUGGUUUAUCUUCCCAGCUGGACAGGAUAAGUCCUGGACCAUAUGGUUUUUCUUGAGAUUGUUCCACCUUGUCUCUGGACAAACCAUAUAUGAAGCCUUUUCUUCUGGCAGAACCAGAAAAUGCAGAAAGAAAUUUUUCCUGUGGGAACCAAGCUGGAAUUUGAGAAAUGAGGUCUGUGUGAGAAGAGGAUCACAACCAGUCACACUUAGCAUUCUUUCUGUAUCACCCUGCAGUGCAAAUGGGAGAACAUCUGGAGGCAUUAACAAACACUGGGAGCCCAGCGUUUGCGUUUCUUCCUCCUAAGUGAGAGAUUACAUUUAUGUUUGCAAGAGAAGAUGGAAAAUUAUUACAGGAGAUGGGUGAGGAAAGACACAUGUUCAGGCUGGGUGUGCUCUAGGUUGACUGUGGGAUGACUAAAAAGAGAACAUUCACACAAACCCAUCUCCAUGCUAUAGAGCAGAACCUAAGAGAGAUAUCAGCUAGUAAACCUGCUGUCUUGUGAGGUGAAGGCUUAGAGCUUGCUUUGGACAACAGGCAUCUCAUUAAGAUCAAUCCUUAUCCCCUGGGGACUGUCUGGUCUUAUUCCCCCAGGUGGCAUUUGCACCUGAUAUCCAUCAGUGACAUGAGCUGUAACCCAUCUUCUCCCUGACUGAUAUGGAUGGUGAGGACACACCAUGCACUCUGCUCUCUGUCUUGGGAUCUGUUUUUGCCAGCAGAGAGCCUUGUCAAAGAAGGAAACAUUCUUGUGAACAAUUUUUUUCAUACCUACUUUGUUGAAAUAAUAAUAAAAAUAUAUAUAUAUAUAUAUAAAAAUUUUUAUAAACUGUGACAUAUAAGAGCAAAUUAACAGCUAAUGACACCUUAGGUGAGACAUGAAAAGAGGAGAAAAAAAAUCUAUGUUUACAUAAGAAAUGUAAGCUGAUCCUGGGCUGGAACCACCUGGUUGUGUAGAUGUUUGGCAUACUUGAUCACAUGGUUUUGUUUCUGUUAUCCUUCUCAUCCAGUCAUUUACUUUUCUCUGAGAUGGUGUUUAUUUUAUUUUAUUUUAUUUUAUUUUAUUUUAUUUUAUUUUAUUUUAUUUUAUUUUAUUUUAUUUUAUUNUUUAUUUUAUUUUAUUUUAUUUUAUUUUAUUUUAUUUUAUUUUAUUUUAUUUUAUUUUAUUUUAUUUUAUUCCCUUCAGCUAUGCUUUUAAGUAUUUUGAUACCUUUAGUUAGGUUGCUGAUCUGAGGUUCAUG
rnacentral:lncRNA from 1 species